AUUUAGUGACUAGCUGUGCGCACCUAAUCUGUUUAACUUUAUUUUCCACUUGUUUACACAGGAAAAGAGGGUAAGCCUACGGAGAAAGAAGAAAAUCCUGACUCAAGUGAUGAGGACACCCUCAUCCAGAUGUCGGAACUUAAAAAUUCUGAAAAGGAGGCAAAGUUCUGGGAAAGUCGAUACAAGUCUCAGUGCGAACAUUCAGCAUUCUUGAAAAGGCAGGUUGAAUUCCUUGAGAAGAACAUCCAGCAACAGUUGACUGUGUUUUAGCAGACACUGGACAAUUUAAUCAGCCAGCCAUGUCAGGGUGAAAAUGGUGCAAUUUUUCUAAGGAG
rnacentral:lncRNA from 1 species